rnacentral:rRNA from 1 species
UACGGAGGGUGCAAGCGUUAUCCGGAUUCACUGGGUUUAAAGGGUGCGUAGGUGGCUAUAUAAGUCAGUGGUGAAAGCUCGCGGCUCAACCGUGAAAUUGCCAUUGAAACUGCAUAGCUUGAGUACAGUUGAAGUGGGCGGAAUACAUCAUGUAGCGGUGAAAUGCUUAGAUAUGAUGUAGAACACCGAUUGCGAAGGCAGCUCACUAAGCUGUAACUGACACUGAGGCACGAAAGCGUGGGUAGCGAACAGG